AGGUUUUCAAACAUGGGUCGUUCCUCCUUUCG
rnacentral:scRNA from 1 species